GGGAGGAUGGCCGAGCGGUCUAAGGCGUGCGACUCAAGUUCGCAUGGAGCAAUCCGCGUGGGUUCGAAUCCCACUCCUCUCA
rnacentral:tRNA from 1 species